rnacentral:lncRNA from 1 species
AGGCUGGCGGCUCCCCGGAGCGCGCCCAGUCGGCCCUGCCUCGCCGCGCCCCCGCCCCUGGGCUCUGGGAACGCGCGGUCCCGCUAGCCUGAAGACCAGCUGAUGGCCGCGGAGCCCACUCGGUAUCUGCACCAGCUAGGCCCCUGGCCCCCAGAGCUGGCCGUUACUGCACUGUCUCUACUCCCGGCUUUAAACAGGAGGAAGGGAGCUGAACGGAACCUUCGAGCUUUUGUGCCUGCCUGACUGCCUUCGAUGAUAGACUGUAAUGUAGGAAUACAAGUGAAGUCAACGCUUCCCUACCCAGAUGCUUCUGCUCAUUCAUCGCGGUUUAUCGAAUCAAUAGGAAGCCCAAGACACCAGCCUAGGAGAAAGGUCAUGGCGGCUGGAAAUGGCAACACCACAGACACAGACUGUCCAGCACAUCACAGGAUCAUGGGCCCCGAUGCUGAGAAUGGAGCUGCAGGAUUUAACGUUUGUCUUGCUAUGCUUUGGUCUUGUUUCACUUAAAUCCUUCCCUGUCAUUUCUUUUUCCUGUUGGAAUGAAGAUGCUUACUCUGUGCAGUAUUGUAUUUCAGAAGUACAUAACUUCAUUUUUGAUAUUACAGAAGCUCAAGAAACUAAA